GUGAAGUUUUUGGAAUUUUUCAUAAAUCGCUUGAUCAACGAUUUAUGAAAAAUUCUUCCGCUACGGUAGAGUUAUGUUACGUUUAAUUUGUUUUGCUUAGAUAGUAUGCUUUGAAAGCCUAAUUAGUUGUUAAGCAAACGAUGAAAAACACAACAUUUAAAUUGCAUUGCUCCGUCAAACUCGGUUCGAGAAACCCCGCAAAGCCUUGCUAUGCCACCACAUUCAGCCGACGUACAUUGCAAUCAUUCAAUGACGAUCAUUAACCGGCCAGCAGAGUCAGUGAACACGAUCACGCUGGGAGAAACUGGGGAGAUAAUCGGUAUCAGUACACAUACUCGAACAGCCAUCACCUCAACCAGAGGCAGCUACCACACUAGGAGAUCAUACCGUGGACAAGUGAGAAGCGUCGCCACCACCACAUGAGAGCACGAGAGAAAGAAUGGAGCGAAAGAUCCGUCGGCAUCAUCAUGCUGGAGAAGUUAAGUUCAACACGGCACGCACACCAUUAAAGCUCGCCGGCAGAACAAGUGAACGAUCGCAAAGGAGUGGAGUUUAAUUGUCUUCCAUCUGUAAGCCAAACCGCGUGUGCCGUUCAGUCGGCGGUGAGAAUUUCCAUUUCGGAAUUGAACAAAGUGCGUUCGUUAGAAAACCCCUCGAAGACGGCCCACUGGAUUAGCUGAUCUUAUUCUCGACCGGUGAGCAGGUGUAACACCCGGAAACCAGCGCAAGAAAUCGAUUGGCCAGAGGGAAGAACAACAGGCCAAAAGAAGCUAAAUCCGCGUGUGCUUUCCAAGAAGGAGGGAUUCGUCGAAAAACCAGACCGUCUGGAUUGUCGGCCGCCAUUGCCGAAAAUCAUUCCCGAUUGGAAAUAGAUGACUGUCCACGCACGGACUCUGGAUUAAACACGCUAGGUGGAGACAAUCGUGUGAAGAGCAGGAGAAAGUCGAGAAUCAUCACCGGCCAAGCCGAAAGCCAACUCGAUCGCCAGAACCAUCCCGACAGAAGCGACUUAGACCGGAUCACGUCGCAGAGCAGAGAGCCCCUCUAGAAGGGGCUCUUUUCUUUCUUGCAGUUUUGCGCACUCAACGUGCCUAGAGGACGAGACAGGUCGCAGGGUCGCGGCGUCGUAAAUCGAACAUUCCGUUCGCAAUAUCACCCACCCCACACACGAAGAGCAGUCGCGCCAAGCAAGGCGCGCAGCAAAGAGGAUUUCCGUAGCGGAGUUGCCACGACAUUCAGGCGAGACGCGUAAUACGGAGGUUUGCUGUACCGGAGGAGUUUUGAUCGGGGGUGUGCCUAUCGAAAGGUGGUGGAUAUGUUGGCUAGGAAGGCGGCAGCUGUGCAGCAUCAACAGGACCGGUGCAAGGCUUCCCUGGAAGACUAUCCGGUGGCGUGAGAGCAUGCAGAAUCAGUGAGUCCUAGAGUUUAAGAGCAAUGCAUAUUAGCUUUUAAGAAUCCUAGUGCAGGAUAGCGUAGGAGGUCUCAGGACCGAGAAUAGGAGGCCAGGACAGGCAAAAUGUUGAAUAUACGCAUUUAAAAUGAA
rnacentral:lncRNA from 11 species